rnacentral:rRNA from 13 species
GACCUCGGAUCAGGUAGGGAUACCCGCUGAACUUAAGCAUAUC